AUGCGGAACCAGCAAAACGACAAAGCUCUUGACUCUUUACUGGCGCGUGGAAGCCAACUCCCUCUCCUAAAAGUUGAGCUUGUACGCUAAGGUCCCUCCUUCCUCGGUCAGUCCUCCCUCGUCUUCUCGUUCAGUUUGCUUCCAAACUAAGAAAAGGCAACGGUUGUGGACUCCAUUUUCCAAACCAUAAUUCUGUAAUCUACUCUUAAAAUUCUUAAUUUCUCGCUAUUUUCUAUUACUUGUAAUUUGCAAUGUCUCUCUAAAGUCUAAAAAGAAGGAAAAAAGGUCUCUGUGCUGGAUCUUUGACUACGUCCAUGGAGGAAUCUCACAGCAACCUCCCUACUAGCCAUUUACUGGGCUCUGUUCCUGCUGUGGUCAGUGAAGAAAAAAGUACCAUCACCUAUGGAGUCCCUGAAGCAAAUAUGCAAACAUUCCCAUCAAAUAAUAAUGGAGGAGGUAGCAGCCGGGGUUAUCAAACUCUUGGAAGUCCACUGGUUAUGGUGUUUAAAUAUUUUAUUUCCAUGGUUUUGAAUGUGUUAUUGUGGAUUAUUAAGCUUGGUUAUGUUCUUAUUUUUAUCCUUGGCAAUUCUCGCUAUUAUUGACUUUUCGUGAAUCAU